AUUAUAAUAAAGAGAUUCUCCCUUUCGAGUGUAUGCAUCUUUAUCUAUAUUCUUCUUUUUAGUGUCAUUUGCUUUUAUGUUUUUCAUUUAACAUUGCUAUGUAUAUAUUGUAUUGUCUCAAUAUUAACUCAGGUUUUGUGCAACAAGAUGAAAUCUUUCCCUCCUUUAAUCUACUUCUCUUGCUUUUAUUUCAAUGAAGUAGCAGUUUCUUGAUUCGAAUUAAAGUUGUUAGAUUUCGGCAUUCGUCUAAUUUUGGGAUUCUGAUGAUUAUUCACUUCUUCAAUGUUAUUGCUUGACAAUAGAAAUUGGGCUAAUUUUCUGUUACUUUAUUAAUUAGAAUUAGAUGUAUUUUUUUCUUUCAAGUUUCUAUUGUGAUUGACACCUGAGUUAAAAAAAAGUUAGUAAGUACAUUGCUUCAACUUGAUAUACUAGCACAUACUUAAUGGUUAUGUUAUUAUGUAUUAGUAUCUGAUUAUCUGAUGGAUUCGCUACAUUAAUAUUUCACCUAAAUUCAAACUUUUACCCUUUCUUCGCAUUUGACUGCAGAUAAGUAUGUCUUUGGAAGAACAAUACGACUCGGGGUACAACAUUAGACCCAUUGCACAAGUUUUUAUUGCGGUCGGUGUUAUGAUCUUCGUUUUAAUUUUGAUAUUUAUAUUAGUCAAAAUUUAGAGAAACGUCGCAGUUAAAAGGCUGCAUGAUGAUGAGAUUGAAAUGGGGAAUCCUUAAAAUUAUUUUAUGAAAAAUGCUGUAAUUGGGAAUGAUAUAAAUUUGAUAUAGUAUUAAAAAUGUUGUAAUGGAAUGAAAUGAAUUUGAUA
rnacentral:lncRNA from 1 species